CAGUAGCCGCGGGAAUACGGAGAGAGCUAGCGUUGUUCGGAAUUACUGGGCGUAAAGCGCACGUAGGCGGCUUGGUAAGUUAGAGGUGAAAGCCCGGAGCUCAACUCCGGAAUUGCCUUUAAGACUGCCGAGCUAGCAGGUGAGAGAGGUAAGUGGAAUUCCGAGUGUAGAGGUGAAAUUCGUAGAUAUUCGGAAGAACACCAGUGGCGAAGGCGGCUUACUGGCUCAUACUGGACGCUGAGGUGCGAAAGCGUGGGGAGCAAACAGGAUUAGAUACCCGCGUAGUCCCUGUCUCUUAUAC
rnacentral:rRNA from 1 species